rnacentral:rRNA from 1 species
CAGUUGGAAACGACUGCUAAUACCGCAUAAGCCCAGACCCGGCAUCGGGUANAGGGAAAAGGAGCAAUCCGCUUUGAGAUGGCCUCGCGUCCGAUUAGCUAGUUGGUGAGGUAACGGCCCACCAAGGCGACGAUCGGUAGCCGGACUGAGAGGUUGAACGGCCACAUUGAGACUGAGACACGGCCCAGACUCCUACGGGAGGCAGCAGUGGGGAAUAUUGCACAAUGGGGGAAACCCUGAUGCAGCGACGCCGCGUGGAGGAAGAAGGUCUUCGGAUUGUAAACUCCUGUUGUUGAGGAAAAUAAUGACGGUACUCAACAAGGAAGUGACGGCUAACUACGUG